UACUAUACUAAAUUUAAUAAAAAAACUUGAAUAUUAAAAGAUAAGGUCUUAAAAUUCAAAGAAUUUGGCGGUAAUUUAGUCUUUUCAGAGGAACCUGUUUUUUAAUCGAUAAACCACGAAAAAUCUUUCUUACUUUAAUAAAUUUAGUAUGUAUACCGUCAUUAUCAGAUAAUAUUUAAAGAUAAAAUUGUUUAACUUUAAAUAAUAAUAAAAAUUAGAUCAAGGUGCAGCUUAUAAGUAAGUUAAAAUGGGUUACAAUUAAAUAAAUGUAAAAUGAAAUAUAAUUUGAAAUAAUUUUAGGAAGGAGGAUUUGAUUGUAAUUUAAAAUUACUAAGAUAAAAAGAUAUAAGCUCUAAAUUAU
rnacentral:rRNA from 1 species